ensembl:lncRNA
GCAAAGUCCAGAGGGAGAAGGGCGAGGGCGCAGGGCGUGUCACAUGGGGCGGAAGCUUCCAGAUACCGCUCCAAGCCAGUACAGCAGGCCUUCUGUCCCUGCGCCCCGCCCCAGCUCACCUGGCCGGGGCAUCACAGACUGACCGGCACGUGGGUGUCCAGUCAGCGGCAGGGCGGGUGCUGCGCCCCAGGGUAGGUUCUGUGACAGGCAGGGGCCGUGCACGGGGUCGUGUGCUUCGCGGUGUCCAUCCCGGCAUUUAAUGCUCCUCGCCACCCCACGCCCACGUGAAAAUGCCAUAGCAAGGGUGAGACGGUACGUAAGUCCACAAAGCCAACCGGGCAGCGUGUCUUGGGGGCUGUAGUGGGGCACAUGGAGUGGUGUACCCUGGCAGGCUGUCCACGUCCCGAUCUCCGGCCCCUGUGACGCAGACCUUGUUUGGAAACAGAGUCUUUGCGGAUAGAACCCACGCCGCAGGCACCUUGACACAGACUUCCGGCUGCUGGAACCACGAGAGCGUCCCUUUCUGCCGUUCCCGAACCGUCAGUUUCUGAUGAUUCGCUGCAACGUCUGGAGGAAACUGCUAUGAGUGAGCCGCUCAGCCGUGUCCAGCUCUUUGUGGCCCCGUGGACUGCAGCCCACCAGGCUCCUCUGUCCAUGGGAUUCUCCAGGCAAGAAUACUGCAGUGGGUUGCCAUUCCCUUCUCCAGGGGAUCUUUCCAACCCAGGGAUCGAACCUAGGUCCCCUGCAUUUUAGGCGGAUUCUUUACUGUCUGAGCCUAUGGUGGUGCUGAAGGCCUGCAGUGAUAUUUUUAGGUGUAAUUCAUUAAGAGGAGUUCAUACUUGGCCCCUGAUCCAGCAUGAUGAGUGUCUUUGUAAAAGGGGGAAAUUUGGACACAGACAAGCAUCGAGGGAAGAUGGUGUGGGAGACACAGGCUGAAGACGGCUGUCGAGAGGCCAAGGACAGAGGUCUGGACCAGAUCCUCAGUCUCAGCCUCGAAGGAACCAGUCCUACUUGAUCAACAGUCUCCAGCCUCCAGAACUGGGAGAGAGCGCAGCACUGAGCUCCCCUCCGUGCAUCACACGCAGGAGCUUUUAGCAUCUCAACCCCGUUUAAACACGGGGCCACCACGUCCAGCCUCCAGACCCUCAACUGCCCAGGCAGACUCAGGUGACCCAGAUUGCCGAGUGCCCCUUGGGGUUGACCUGCUCUCUCAGAAUCCGCCCUGCACACAUUCUGCAGAGUUCUGCUGACAGACACCCAGCUUCCUGCAGUUCUCCUGGCGGCCAAGCCUUCACAUCCGGGUGUGACUGGGUGUUGGGACCUCCCUG